UACGUAGGGUGCGAGCGUUAAUCGGAAUUACUGGGCGUAAAGCGUGCGUAGGCGGUUCUCCAAGUCCGUUGUGAAAGCCCCGGGCUCAACCUGGGAAUGGCAGUGGAAACUAGGGGACUGGAAUCUGGCAGAGGGGGGUGGAAUGCCGCGUGUAGCAGUGAAAUGCGCAGAUAUCAGGAGGAACACCAAUAGCGAAGGCAGCUCGCUGGGACGGUACUGACGCUAAGGCGCGAAAGCGUGGGGAGCAAACAGG
rnacentral:rRNA from 1 species